CAGUAGCCGCGGUAAUACAGAGGGUGCGAUCGUUAAUCGGAUUUACUGGGCGUAAAGCGUGCGUAGGCGGCUUCUUAAGUCGGAUGUGAAAUCCCUGAGCUUAACUUAGGAAUUGCAUUCGAUACUGGGAAGCUAGAGUAUGGGAGAGGAUGGUAGAAUUCCAGGUGUAGCGGUGAAAUGCGUAGAGAUCUGGAGGAAUACCGAUGGCGAAGGCAGCCAUCUGGCAUAAUACUGACGCUGAGGUACGAAAGCAUGGGGAGCAAACAGGAUUAGAUACCCGAGUAGUCCCUGUCUCUUAUAC
rnacentral:rRNA from 1 species